UUAGACCUACGGGGGGCAGCAGUGAGGAAUAUUGGUCAAUGGGCGAGAGCCUGAACCAGCCACGUCGCGUGAGGAAAGACGGUCCUAUGGAUUGUAAACCUCUUUUGCCGGGGAGCAAAAAGCGGUACGUGUACCGCAUCGAGAGUACCCGGAGAAAAAGCAUCGGCUAACUCCGUGCCAGCAGCCGCGGUAAUACGUAGGGGGCAAGCGUUAUCCGGAUUUACUGGGUGUAAAGGGAGCGUAGACGGCAGCGCAAGUCUGGAGUGAAAUGCCGGGGCCCAACCCCGGAACUGCUUUGGAAACUG
rnacentral:rRNA from 1 species